GAUGAACGCUAGCGGCAGGCUUAAUACAUGCAAGUCGAGGGGCAGCAGGGGUAGCAAUACCCGCUGGCGGCCGGCAAACGGGUGCGGAACACGUACAGAACCUUCCUUUAAGCGGGGGAUAGCCCGGAGAAAUCCGGAUUAAUACCCCAUAGUAAUGUUUAAUGGCAUCAUUAGAUAUUUAAAGAUUUAUCACUUAAAGAUGGCUGUGCGGCUGAUUAGGUAGUUGGUGCGGGUAACGGCCCACCAAGCCUUCGAUCAGUAACUGGUGUGAGAGCACGACCAGUCACACGGGCACUGAGACACGGGCCCGACUCCUACGGGAGGCAGCAGUAAGGAAUAUUGGUCAAUGGACGCAAGUCUGAACCAGCCAUGCCGCGUGAAGGAUGAA
rnacentral:rRNA from 1 species